AUUGAACGCUGGCGGCAGGCUUAACACAUGCAAGUCGAGCGGAGCGAGGGUGCUUGCACCUUAGCUUAGCGGCGGACGGGUGAGUAAUGCUUAGGAAUCUGCCUAUUAGUGGGGGACAACAUUCCGAAAGGAAUGCUAAUACCGCAUACGCCCUACGGGGAAAGCAGGGAUCUUCGGACCUUGCGCUAAUAGAUGAGCCUAAAUCGGAUUAGCUAGUUGGUGGGGUAAAGGCCUACCAAGGCGACGAUCUGUAGCGGGUCUGAGAGGAUGAUCCGCCACACUGGGACUGAGACACGGCCCAGACUCCUACGGGAGGCAGCAGUGGGGAAUAUUGGACAAUGGGCGCAAGCCUGAUCCAGCCAUGCCGCGUGUGUGAAGAAGGCCUUUUGGUUGUAAAGCACUUUAAGCGAGGAGGAGGCUACUUAGAUUAAUACUCUAGGAUAGUGGACGUUACUCGCAGAAUAAGCACCGGCUAACUCUGUGCCAGCAGCCG
rnacentral:rRNA from 1 species